UACGAAGGGUGCAAACGUUGCUCGGAAUCAUUGGGCGUAAAGCGCACGUAGGCGGCCUUGUAAGUCGGAUGUGAAAUCCCUCGGCUUAACCGAGGACGUGCAUCCGAAACUGUGAGGCUCGAGUAUGGAAGAGGGUCGCAGAAUUCCCGGUGUAGAGGUGAAAUUCGUAGAUAUCGGAAGGAAUACCAGUGGCGAAGGCGGCGACCUGGGCCAAUACUGACGCUGAGGUGCGAAAGCGUGGGGAGCAAACAGG
rnacentral:rRNA from 1 species